rnacentral:snRNA from 1 species
AUACUUACCUGGACGGGGUCAAUGGGUGAUCAUAAAGGCUCAUGGCCUAAGUUGUUGACUUCCAUUGCAUGCUGGAGGGGUGUCAAAGAGCCUACGUCAUAAUUUGUUGCAGUGGGGGCCUGCGUUUGCGCGGCUCCUUC